CUAAACCAAUACAGUGUAAGCCAAGGGGCGUUGCUGUAUCGGGGUCGUGGGACGUUCAGGAGGUACCCUUGCCCUCCACGAAGUUACAAAUCCACUCGCUAGUUGAACGGCAUGGAAAGGCCGGCCAGAGAAGGUGACAGCCCUGUACGCGAAAGUGAGUGGACUUCGGAAAUGUUCCCGAGUACCGCAGGACACGUGACAUCCGGCGGGAAUCUGGGAGGACCAUCUUCCAAGGCUAAGUACUACUCGAUGACCGAUAGUGAACAAGUACCGUGAGGGAAAGGUGAAAAGCACCCCGGUUAGGGGAGUGAAAUAGUACCUGAAACCGUGCGUCUACAAGCAGUUGAAGCACUAUGCCCUUUUAGGGAAUGUGCAACAGCGUACCUUUUGCAUCAUGGGCCUGCGAGUUAUCCUAUGUCGCAAGGUUAAGCCGAGAGGUGUAGCCGGAGCGAAAGCGAGUUCGAAUAGAGCGACUCAGUGGCAUGGGAUAGACCCGAAACCUGGUGAUCUAUCCAUGGGCAGGUUGAAGCGCGGGUAAAACCGCGUGGAGGACCGAACCCACUCAAGUUGAAAAUUGAGGGGAUGACCUGUGGAUCGGAGUGAAAGGCUAAUCAAACCAGGAGAUAGCUGGUUCUCCGCGAAAUAUAUUGAGGUAUAGCCUCGGACGAAUUGCACCGGAGGUAGAGCACUGAAUGGGCUAGGGGUCUUACCCGAUUACCAAACCCAAUCAAACUCCGAAUGCCGGUGACAAGUAUCCGGGAGUCAGGCUGCGGGUGAUAAGGUCCGUAGCCGAGAGGGAAAGAGCCCAGAUCGACAGCUAAGGUCCCUAAAUCCAGACUAAGUGUAGAAGGAUGUGGGAGCGCUCAGACAGCCAGGAGGUUGGCUUAGAAGCAGCCACCCUUUAAAGAAAGCGUAAUAGCUCACUGGUCGAGCGAGCCUGCGCCGAAAAUGUAACGGGGCUAAGUCUGGUACCGAAGCUUCGGGUUCUACUUUGUAGAGCGGUAGCGGAGUAUUCUCAGAUAGAUACGAGGUGUACCGUAAGGAGCGCUGAUGGAUCUGAGAAGAGCUUAUGCAGGCAUGAGUAGCGAUAAACAGAGUGAGAAACUCUGUCGCCGUAAGCCCAAGGUUUCCUGGGGAAGGAUAAUCCUCCCAUGGGUUAGUCGGAACCUAAGCUGAGCCCGAAAGGGGUAGGCGAUGGCAAGCUGGUUAAUAUUCCAGCACUAGCAUUGAUGACGUUGAACUAAGCAGGGACGGAGAAGGAUAGGCCGAGCUGGCCGUUUGGUUGUGCCAGUUCAAGCGCGUAGGAGGACGUCGUAGGACCCAGUAGGGACAAACGCGAUGUCAACUCCGAGACGUGAUGAGGUGAGUCUUCGGACUCGUAACUCGGUGAUUCCAGGCUUCCGAGAAAAGCUGCGUAGUGAGUCCCAGUGCUAUCCGUACCGCAAACCGACUCAGGUGGGCGGGGUGAGCAUCCCAAGGCGCGUGAGAAAAUGCUGGCUAAGGAACUCGGCAAAUUGGCACCGUAACUUCGGGAGAAGGUGCGCCCCUAGUGGUGAUGAGCUCGCGCUCUGAGCUGCCGGGGGUUGCAGUGACCAGGGGGUUGCGACUGUUUACUAAAAACACAGGACUCUGCGAAAUCGUAAGAUGACGUAUAGGGUCUGACGCCUGCCCGGUGCUGGAAGGUUAAGGGGAGAUGUUAGUCCUUGUGGCGAAGCUUCGAACCGAAGCCCCAGUAAACGGCGGCCGUAACUAUAACGGUCCUAAGGUAGCGAAAUUCCUUGUCGGGUAAGUUCCGACCUGCACGAAUGGCGUAACGACAUCCCCACUGUCUCGGCCAGCAACUCAGCGAAAUUGUACUGAGGGUGAAGAUACCCUCUACCCGCGGCAAGACGGAAAGACCCCGUGAACCUUCACUGCAACUUGGCAGUGAUGCUCGGAACAGUCUGCGCAGGAUAGGUGGGAGGCUUUGAAGUCGGGAUUUUGGUCCCGAUGGAGCCACCCUUGAGAUACCACCCUGGCUGUUCUGGGCGUCUAACCCAGGCCCGUUAUCCGGGUCGGGGACACUGUCUGGUGGGCAGUUUGACUGGGGCGGUCGCCUCCCAAAAAGUAACGGAGGCGCGCGAUGGUUC
rnacentral:rRNA from 1 species